UACGUAGGGGGCGAGCGUUGUCCGGAAUUAUUGGGCGUAAAGAGCGUGUAGGCGGUUCGGUAAGUCUGCCGUGAAAACCUGGGGCUCAACCCUGGGCGUGCGGUGGAUACUGCCGGGCUAGAGGGUGGUAGAGGCGAGUGGAAUUCCCGGUGUAGCGGUGAAAUGCGCAGAUAUCAGGAAGAACACCCGUGGCGAAGGCGGCUCUCUGGGACGGUACUGACGCUGAGACGCGAAAGCGUGGGGAGCGAACAGG
rnacentral:rRNA from 1 species